rnacentral:rRNA from 1 species
UGAAAGACGGUCUUGCUGUCACUUAUAGAUGGACCCGCGCCGUAUUAGCUAGUUGGUGGGGUAACGGCCUACCAAGGCGACGAUACGUAGCCGACCUGAGAGGGUGAUCGGCCACACUGGAACUGAGACACGGUCCAGACUCCUACGGGAGGCAGCAGUAGGGAAUCUUCCGCAAUGGGCGAAAGCCUGACGGAGCAACGCCGCGUGAGUGAUGAAGGUCUUCGGAUCGUAAAGCUCUGUUGUUAGGGAAGAACAAAUGUGUAAGUAACUGUGCACAUCUUGACGGUACCUAACCAGAAAGCCACGGCUAACUACGUGCCAGCAGCCGCGGUAAUACGUAGGUGGCAAGCGUUAUCCGGAAUUAUUGGGCGUAAAGCGCGCGUAGGCGGUUUUUUAAGUCUGAUGUGAAAGCCCACGGCUCAACCGUGGAGGGUCAUUGGAAACUGGAAAACUUGAGUGCAGAAGAGGAAAGUGGAAUUCCAUGUGUAGCGGUGAAAUGCGCAGAGAUAUGGAGGAACACCAGUGGCGAAGGCGGCUUUCUGGUCUGCAACUGACGCUGAUGUGCGAAAGCGUGGGGAUCAAACAGGAUUAGAUACCCUGGUAGUCCACGCCGUAAACG